GGGCUGGACCUCUCGGGGUUACAGCCUUGCUGAAUUAUUCACCCUUGUCUUUUGCGUACUUCUUGUUUCCUUGGUGGGUUCGCCCACCACUAGGACAAACAUAAACCUUUUGUAAUUGCAAUCAGCGUCAGUAACAAAUUAAUAAUUACAACUUUCAACAACGGAUCUCUUGGUUCUGGCAUCGAUGAAGAACGCAGCGAAAUGCGAUAAGUAGUGUGAAUUGCAGAAUUCAGUGAAUCAUCGAAUCUUUGAACGCACAUUGCGCCCUUUGGUAUUCCAAAGGGCAUGCCUGUUCGAGCGUCAUUUGUACCCUCAAGCUUUGCUUGGUGUUGGGCGUCUUGUCUCUAGCUUUGCUGGAGACUCGCCUUAAAGUAAUUGGCAGCCGGCCUACUGGUUUCGGAGCGCAGCACAAGUCGCACUCUCUAUCAGCAAAGGUCUAGCAUCCAUUAAGCCUUUUUUUCAACUUUUGACCUCGGAUCAGGUAGGGAUACCCGCUGAACUUAAGCAUAUCAAUAAGCGGAGGAAAAGAAACCAACAGGGAUUGCCCUAGUAACGGCGAGUGAAGCGGCAACAGCUCAAAUUUGAAAUCUGGCUCUUUUAGAGUCCGAGUUGUAAUUUGCAGAGGGCGCUUUGGCUUUGGCAGCGGUCCAAGUUCCUUGGAACAGGACGUCACAGAGGGUGAGAAUCCCGUACGUGGUCGCUGGCUAUUGCCGUGUAAAGCCCCUUCGACGAGUCGAGUUGUUUGGGAAUGCAGCUCUAAAUGGGAGGUACAUUUCUUCUAAAGCUAAAUAUUGGCCAGAGACCGAUAGCGCACAAGUAGAGUGAUCGAAAGAUGAAAAGCACUUUGGAAAGAGAGUCAAACAGCACGUGAAAUUGUUGAAAGGGAAGCGCUUGCAGCCAGACUUGCUUACAGUUGCUCAUCCGGGUUUCUACCCGGUGCACUCUUCUGUAGGCAGGCCAGCAUCAGUUUGGGCGGUAGGAUAAA
rnacentral:rRNA from 1 species